UCAAUAGAAUCAGUGCUUCGGUUGACGCAGCAAUUUUCCGUUGGUUGAAGACUUCACAAAUAUUUGCGAUAAAUACCGAAUUCUCACGUAAAACAACCAAUUUUCAAUCAGUGAUUGUAAGAAGCAAGUGUCUGCUGUUGGUAGAGAAAAAUAAUUAAUUGACGACAAUGGGUCUCGUCUGUUCUACAGCGCAGCUCGCUUGCCUUUGUGGUAGCACGGCAUGCAGUUUCUGCUGCUCACAGUGUCCAACAUGUCGCAACAGCACCAGUACUCGGAUCAUGUAUGCCCUCAUGUUGUUGCUGGGUACAAUAGCUGCGUGUAUUACACUUUCCUCUGGUCUCCAAGAUACUCUGAAAAAAGUCCCCUUCUGUACCAACAGCUCUAAUUAUGUACCUUCCACAUACACCGUUGACUGUCAAUCCGCUGUUGGAUAUCUAGCCGUGUACAGGCUCUGUUUUAUUCUGUCUUUAUUCUUCAUACUUAUGUCAGUAAUCAUGAUCAGAGUGAAAAGUUCCAAGGAUCCGCGAGCGCCAAUUCAAAAUGGAUUCUGGGCAAUUAAGUACCUCUUGGUAAUUGGCGGAAUGAUUGGAGCCUUCUUUAUUCCGGAAAAAUCGUUUGGAAGUACUUGGAUGUACUUUGGGAUGAUUGGUGGAUUCCUAUUUAUCCUAAUCCAGCUAAUUCUCAUUGUUGAUUUUGCUCACUCGUGGGCAGAUGCUUGGGUUGGCAACUACAAUGAUACAGAAUCCAAGGGCUGGUAUGCUGCACUUUUAGGGGCUACAUUCCUGAAUUAUGCGCUUGCUAUUGCUGGCAUUGUUCUCCUGUUCAUCCAUUUCACUACGCCAAACGACUGUGCCCUCAACAAGUUCUUCAUUUCAUUCAACCUGAUUCUCUGUAUAAUUACCAGCGCUAUAUCGAUUCUACCAAUUGUACAGGAGAAACUAGCCAACAGUGGUCUUCUCCAAUCCUCCGUUGUCAGUCUUUACGUCAUUUAUCUGACCUGGAGUGGUGUAGCCAACAGCCCAGAUGCCACUUGCAAUCCUGGAAUGCUGGGCAUCAUUGGUGCCGGAGAUGUGCCUUCUCAGAACAAGGUUGCAUUUGACAAAGAGAGCAUCAUUGGAUUAAUCAUAUGGAUGUGCUGCGUCCUGUACAGUUCACUUCGUACAGCUUCUAAAUCAGCCAGGAUCACCAUGUCGGAUAACGUAAUGGCCAAAGACAAUGGAGCUGUCAGGAACCAAGCAGACCAAUCCCUGGUUGGCAAUGAAGUAGAAGGUCCGAGCGGAGAUCAUGCGGAAGGUGGUACAGCCAAAGUUUGGGACAAUGAAGAUGACAGUGUUGCCUACAGCUGGAGUUUCUUCCAUCUCAUGUUCGCUCUUGCCACAUUGUACGUUAUGAUGACACUAACCAACUGGUACAAACCUAAUUCGAGUUUGGAUACACUGAAUUCAAACGCCGCUUCGAUGUGGGUUAAAAUAAUAUCAUCCUGGAUGUGUCUUGGACUGUACACCUGGUCGUUGGUUGCACCUGUCGUCCUGAAAGAUCGUGAAUUUUCAACCUAAAGUGAGGUAAAAACGAGGCUAUAAUACUUUGAUUUCAGAUUCUCGGCGGCACUCUGCGCUCACAGGACCCGUUCCUGGUUGAUAGGCGGGAACGAAAUCCAAAAGAUGCCGCGAUUCUCUAUCAAUUUCUUCUGUAAAUUGUGCUGCGAAAAGAAGAAUACCAAAGUCAAGAUCCCUUCAUCUUUUCCUACAAUUUGCCAGAAUCCACUUAGAUUUUUCACAUAAAUGGUAUGCGAUCUACGUCACCUCUAAUCAUUAUGCUAGGUACUUUCAGUUUCAGAAUUGAGCAACUGGCUGGAAAUUGAAGCCUUGGGGCUGUUGAGUGAUCUUCACUAGCUCCGAAAAACGGUUACGAAAUGGACAAUGACGGGGUCAUGAUAUACCUACAAUUCGUGUCCCACUUUCGUUUUUGCCAAUUUUGCAAGUCGCUCUAAAUUUUUACAAAACUGCCGUUCCCCACAAAUACCCAUGUUCUCAAUUAAUUGCGUUAUCACCGCAGGAUCAGCGACUUACGAAACUCCUACUUAUGACAUUCAACGUUCAAAGUUGAAAUAUGCUCAAAAACUACCAUGAAAGCUACCUCUGAAGAAAUGAUUUGUCGAUGACUUUUUUACAUUUAUAAUUUUUCUUCAUCUAGGAUUCCCUGUUAAAAAGGUAUCGGUGAUACAACGUAGUAAUUUGAUUGUAACAAAUGGAAGAAAUUUCCGAUCUCUAUAAUUUGCGAUUGCAAGUAGCCCACUAAUUAUAAUAAGUGUUCGGAUUUUGAAUGUUUCUGCAAUAACGUGCAUCCGCACUAUUAACUACAUUACGAUAGUUAUUGAAUCUGGGUAAUUGAUUCGCUGGAUUCAGAACAUCAUAUCGACGCUGAGUAUGUGAUUUUACAUUUUAUUGAGUGAUCAUCUUCCCACAAAUGCAAAUUUGUGCCAGUCAUCCGAAGAGCCCUGACUAAUUGGAAAGGAAAACAACAUGCGAUAUGCACACUACACCCCGGUGCCAGAGGCAAGGGAAUUCCGUACGAAGUUUUCAGCCGGACGGGGAAGUACAGUGUUGAAGAUUCACCUACUUUGUCGAUGUCGCAUGCGAUAGAGCCAUAACUGAAUCUUUAUUAACGACAGUUCAUUAUCUGUAUAUUCCAUCGUAAGGACAUCCGCUGGAUAAGCCAGAGGAUGAGGAACCUGCGAAAGAUGAUUUGGAUUUAGUAAUCCCCUUGACUUCGGCCUGCAGCAACUAUACCGAACUGUAGUGGUAAAAGCGCCGGUUUUCUACGUAUAAUCGUUAGAAUUCUUCCAUUCUCGUGUAACAUAGUAUACCCAUAAUAUAUCGAACUACGCAUGUUGUUGCUGCAGAACGUGGGACAAAACUACUUUCGAUAUUUCGUCACGUGAAUAGAGUAUUAGGUGCUAGUUGAAGCGGUUUCAGCUGCGCCGCUGCUGCUGCCGCUAGAUAUCAAGAUAUUUACUUUCAUUGCCCGGCUGCGUCGAUGACACGCUGCAAGGCCGUCCCACGAUUUAAUCUCGUACGGUAAAAUUGGGCCAAAUAUGAAUUUUACCAGAAAUCCGCAAUCGAGAUCAAACUCUAAUGAGCGAUUUCGAAACAACGCGAACUCUGUCGAGUUAUAAUAUAGGUACUUUUGAUUCGGUAUCAACGCAUAAUUUAGAAAUUCUUCAACGCCUCGGUAGAGAUGACCUCUUAUGUUUCGCGUGUCCCGAUCCAACAUCUCGACAUUCUUGCCUUUUUACUCUAAGAAUUACCUUCGGUACGAAGGUGAAGUUGAAUAAUCACAAUAAUUAGCGUCAGUAGUUAUUUAACAUAUUCGCUAUGCAGGUCUACCGGACAUCAUAACUAUUUGCGUGAUAAUUGAUAAAUAAAUACAAAUACGAUCCAGACGUGCGAGAAAUCGGUUUUAUGUAAUUCACGAUUGAAUUUAAUUAAGCCAUAUCUAGUUUUCAUUCCAAGUUUGCUAUCUGUGCCAUGUGGUGUCACAUUUAUUAUGCAGUGGCCUUGAAAUCGGGGAGUUAUGCGAUACCUAUAAGUAUACAGUCACUUAUGUUUCUAGGCCUCACGUAAAAUUAAAAAGCGAACUAUGAUUUCAAUCGGACGUAAUCGCUUCGGUCGAGACUAGCUUGCACCUGACUAUGAAUCGGGUGCCCUUGAAAACUCGGGUCAUUUUCAUUUUCAAGGUUCUCGUUAUCGAGAGAUUUUAUCCAGCUCUCUAUUCUCUCUUUAUCACAAUGCGUUUCGUAUUAUGUCAAUUCUUUCGGCUCUGCCAUCCGACUUCUACGGGGUGCCGAUACACAGGGGACAUGGUGAACAUUGAAUGAACACUGCAAACGAUAAAGCCGUUUGCCUCGAUCUAGGAUUAGAACUGGCAAACAGUGGCCAAUGAACGACUGCCGAGAACAAGUAUGCGGAUUGCGACCAAAAUGAAAGUAAAUACGAAUAACGGAUGUCGAAGAGUGCUUUGAAAGAGAAUCGCUGAGGAUAUCGUAACAGGUUUUCCAACCCGGUUG